rnacentral:misc_RNA from 1 species
UCGGAACCUGCCCAGUAGAGCGACCCGCGAACAAGUAAAAACAAAACCGGACGGACCGAAGAGGGGCGUAUUCCCCCGAUCGCUCGCCCGUCGGACCACGUUCUCUUCUGCGAUCUCACUGAUCUGCGGGCGGAGGGAUGGGUCGUUGUGUCCUCACAAAACCAAAAAACGGCGCGACAGGCGCCAAGGAAAUCUUAGCAGAAAAAUAGGGUUGCCCCGUCCGCGGAGGCAACUUUCAAAAUCCGAUACU